UUUUAUUUUCGUUUAUUGUAUUUUAAUUGUUUUGUUGAUUGUGUUAUAUUUGAUUUUCGUGAUUAGAAUCUAAUGGCAGGUAUUCUGGGUUCGUGUUUGAUGUUUGACAACCAAAAGGUUGCAAGAGAUGAAGGUUGGAAAGGUGAUCAUUAUCGUCGCCAUUGGUGUUAAUUUGGUUACGGGUAAUUUAGAUCAAUUGUGCAAAUUGUAUCGCCGAUGGUUGAUUCUUGGAUAUUAAUUCCAAUUAGCAAUUGAUUGGAUGGUAAAAAGUAAAAAGGAAACUGCUCCUCAGGCCAUUCCAGUACUUCCUUACCUGAGAAGAUCCAUUUUAUCAAAAGAAAAAAACUACACCGAAACCAUUAGUUUAUCAUGAGUUGAAUUGAACGAAACUGAAAUCAACCUAAGCAUCGGACGAAACUGAUUUGAAUUAAA